rnacentral:lncRNA from 1 species
GGCACUUUUGGGGCAUUUGAGGCCAUUUUUGGGGCCAUUUUUGCGGCCAUUUUUGGGACCAUUUUUCGGGUCAUUUUUGGGGUCUUUUUGGGGCCAUUAUUGGUGUCAUUUUUGCCAUUUUUGGGGUCAUUUUUGAGGUCAUUUUUUGGGUCAUUUUUGCCAUUUUUGGGAUAUUUUGGGGUCAUUUUUGGGGCCAUAUCUGGGGCCAUUUUUGCCAUUUUUGGGUCAUUUUUGAGGCCAUUUUCAGGUCUUUUUGGGGUCAUUUUUGUGAUUUUUGGGGUCAUUUUUGGGUCAUUUUUUGGGUCAUUUUUGCCAUUUUUGGGGUCAUUUUUGAGGUCAUUUUUGGGGUUCAUUUUUGCCAUUUUUGGGGCCAUUUUGGGGGUCAUAAUUGGUCCCAUUUUUUGCCAUUUUGGGGCCGUUUUCAGCCAUUUUUGCCCCUUUAAGGCCAUUUGGGGGCCGUUUCGGUUCAUUUUGGGGUCAUUUUGGGGCCAUUUUUGCCAUUUUUGGGGCAUUUUGGGAGUCAUUUUUGGGGUAUUUUUGGGGUCAUUUUUGGGGCCAUUUUUGGGGUCAUUUUUGCCAUUUUUGGGACCAUUUUGGAGUCAUUUUGGGGCCAUUUUGGGGGCAUUUUUGGGGUCAUUUUUGGGGCCAUUUUUGGGGUCAUUUUUGCCAUUUUUGGGACCAUUUUGGAGUCAUUUUGGGGCCAUUUUGGGGGCAUUUUUGGGGUCAUUUUUGGGGCCAUUUUUGGGGUCAUUUUUGCCAUUUUUGGGACCAUUUUGGAGUCAUUUUGGGGCCAUUUUGGGGGCAUUUUUGGGGUCAUUUUUGGGGCCAUUUUUGGGGUCAUUUUUGCCAUUUUUGGGACCAUUUUGGAGUCAUUUUGGGGCCAUUUUGGGGGCAUUUUUGGGGUCAUUUUUGGGGUAUUUUUGGGGUAUUUUUGGGGCCAUUUUUGUGGUCAUUUUUGCCAUUUUUGGGCCAUUUUGGGGGCCAUUUUGGAGGUCCUUUUUGGAGUCAUUUUUGCCAUUUUGGGGCCAUUUUUGGGGUCCUUUCUGCCAUUUUGGGGGGCAUUUUGGGGGUCAUUUUUGGGAUCAUUUUUGGGGUCGUUUUUGCCAUUUUUGGGGUAUUUUGGGGUCAUUUUGGGGGCCAUUUUUUGCCAUUUUGGGGCCAUUUUCAGCCAUUUUUGCCCCUUUAAGGCCAUUUGGGGGCCGUUUCGGUUCAUUUUGGGGUCAUUUUGGGGCCCUUUUUCCCAUUUUUGGGGCAUUUUGGGGUCAUUUUUGCCAUUUUUGGGAUAUUUUGGGGUCAUUUUUGGGGCCAUAUCUGGGGCCAUUUUUGCCAUUUUUGGGUCACGUUUUGGGGUCAUUUUGGGGUCAUUUUUGCCAUUUUUGGGGCCUUUUGGGGCAUUUUGGCACUGACUGA